rnacentral:misc_RNA from 1 species
UUUCCGUAGGUGAACCUGCGGAAGGAUCAUUCAUAAUAAGUGUUUUAUGGCACUUUUUUAAAUCCAUAUCCACCUUGUGUGCAAUGUCAGGUUGAUUUUUCUCUCGAGAGGAUCAGCCCCAAACAUCAACUAUAUCUCAACUCUUUGUCUGAAAAAUAUUAUGAAUAAAACAAUUCAAAAUACAACUUUCAACAACGGAUCUCUUGGCUCUC